UACCUGCAGCCCAAGUGGUGGUCGAUUUUAUUGAGUCUAAAACGUUCGUAGCCGGUUUGGUAAAUCUUUGGGUAAAUCGGGAGGCUCAACUUUCCGACUUCCGAAGAGACUGUCAAACUUGGGACCGGGAGAGGCUAGAGGUACUUCUGGGGUAGGGGUAAAAUCCUGUAAUCCUAGAAGGACCACCGGUGGCGAAGGCGUCUAGCUAGAACGGACCCGACGGUGAGGGACGAAGCCCUGGGUCGCAAACGGGAUUAGAUACCCCGGUAGUCCAGGGUGUAAACGCUGCCGACUUGGUGUUGGAGGCCCUUCGGGGGCAUUCAGUGCCGGAGAGAAGUUGUUAAGUCGGCCACUUGGGGAGUACGUCCGCAAGGAUGAAACUUAA
rnacentral:rRNA from 1 species